rnacentral:rRNA from 1 species
CCUACGGGAGGCAGCAGUGAGGAAUAUUGGUCAAUGGGCGCGAGCCUGAACCAGCCAAGUAGCGUGAAGGAUGACUGCCCUACGGGUUGUAAACUUCUUUUAUAAAGGAAUAAAGUGAGGCACGUGUGCCUUUUUGUAUGUACUUUAUGAAUAAGGAUCGGCUAACUCCGUGCCAGCAGCCGCGGUAAUACGGAGGCUCCGAGCGUUAUCCGGAUUUAUUGGGUUUAAAGGGAGCGUAGAUGGGUUGUUAAGUCAGUUGUGAAAGUUUGCGGCUCAACCGUAAAAUUGCAAUUGAUACUGGCAGCCUUGAGUACAGUUGAGGUAGGCGGAAUUCGUGGUGUAGCGGUGAAAUGCUUAGAUAUCACGAAGAACUCCGAUUGCGAAGGCAGCUUACUAAACUGCCACUGACAUUGAUGCUCGAAGGUGUGGGUAUCGAACAGGAUUAGAUACCCCUGUAGUC